GGGCUUUAACUCACUGUGCCACAGUGCCAGCCCCAAUUUUUGGCCAUUUUUAACUCCUUCAAUUAUUAUUAAUUAUGGCCCAUCUCAUACUUGGUAACACAAUUUGUGAUAUCUUAUUAAGGAAUUAAAAAUAUGAUCUCUGGUGUUUAUAAAGGAAGAGAUGUAAGUGCUUGUUCUGAUUAGGAUAUUACAGAUGAAAACAAUUCUCUGACUUGCAAUUUGAAGACAAGCAUUAUUAUUUUACACAGGUGUUGCAUGGACUCGCCUCCACUGUCUUCCUGUCUCUGAAUAUAUGUCCAUGGCGCUCCAGUAGUUUUCAUCAGAGACUGGGAAAUAAUGGAGCAUUUAGCAUCAUAAUGAUCCUGUAGAAAACACUGUUAUUCAAUUUAAAUUUAGACAAUGCAAAUGCAAUUAGAAAUGUCUGUAUAUUGCUUAAUAUUCUUUGAAUAAACUAAUAUUUGUUGAGUUUUUCAUAGUUGGACAUCUGUUUCAGAAUCUCAGUUUUGGCCUUUUCCUGAAAGACUUACUGAAAGUGCUGUAGACUGAUUAGAAGAGAUGGCAUUUACUUCUUACCUAACUUCCUUCCUUCCUUCCUUCCUUCCUUCCUUCCUUCCUUCCUUCCUCUCUCUCUCUCUCUCUUUCUUAUUUAUUUAUUUGAAAGAGUUACACACAGAGAGUAGGAGGAUCAGAGACAGAAAGAAGUCUUCCGUCCACUGGUUCACUCCUCAAUUUGCCACAACGCCCAGAGCUACGCUGAUUCAAGCCAGGAGUUUCCUCCAGGUCUCCCACACAGGUGCAAGGGCCCAAGGACUUGGGCCAUCCUCCACUGCUUUCCCAGGCCAUAGCAGAGAGCUGGAUCUGAAGUGGAGCAUCUGGGACUCAAACUGGCACCCACAUGGGAUACUGGCACUACAGGCAGUGACUUUACUCUCUACGCUACAGUGCUGACCCUUACUUACCUAACUUUCUAAAAAUAUCUAAUAAUUAUUAUUAUUUUCUUACACAUUUUCUCUUUAUUCGUCAUGAUGUUUUCUCUUUCUUGAUGGAAAAAAUACUAUGCUCAUUAUUUGUAUCUGGAAAUGCACAUUAGUGUACAUAUCCCCACAUUUUCAAUAUGUUUUAGUAUUUAAAAAACAUUAUUUUUUAUUUAUAAGAAACACACAGAAAGAUGCUGCAAAUAUAUCGAAAAUUUUAAAAAGAUUUAUUAUAUAUAUUUAGAAGACAAAGUGACAGAGAGGGAAAGAAAAAAAAAAUCUUCCAUCCACUGGUUCACCUUGUCUGAAUGGCUAUAACAGUCAGGGUUGGGCCAGGCCCAAACCAAGAGCUUGGAACUCCAACUGAGUUUCCCAUGUGGCUGACAGGGGCUCAAGCACUUGGGUCAUCUUCCACUGCUUCACCAGGCUCAUUAGCAGGGAAAUUACAGAAGUAGAGUAGCCAAGACUUGAACCUACACUCUGUUAUGGGAUACUGGUGUUUCAAACAGUGGCUUAACCCACUGCGCUGCAACACCAGCAUUGUAUGUUGAAUUUUUACAAGGAAAGAAUUAUUAUUGUACAUAAGCCUGUCUAAUUAUCAAAUUUAUAAAGCAAUAAAAAUAAUACGUGUAUGUAUAUAAAGUUAACAGAUUGUUUUUUCUUGACCACAAAUUUGCAUCAGUAGGAUCUUCAUUUAAACUGAGAGUUCAAGUUUAUAGAGAAAUUCGGCUACUGGAAUAUCUUCCCUGCUUGCUUAAUGCUCUUAAUCUCAGUCUUGGGGAAACAUCUGCAGCUGUCUGUGGUCUCUAAAUCACAGUUGGCUAUAAUUGCCCUUGGUUGCUGUUUUUGAAGCCACCAUCUUGUUGGUUGGAUAUCUAUGCCUACCCAACCAUUUCUAUCCACGGCUGAACUUCACUCAUGCAAAGUCCUUCUUCUGAUAUAUUUGCCCUAUCUUCCAAUUCUUUGAAGUAAGUGUGAACUCUUGUUUAUGAAACAUUUCAUACCAGUUACAAGCCACUGUCAAAUGUGAGAGGAGACCAAGAUGUUGAUGUUGAAUCAGACAGACACAGUACUGAUGUAUCGAACCUAGAGAUACAUUAAGUUUGAAACUUUGGUCUUUUUUAUUUUUAUGUCUUAAAUUAUGGCUUUUUUGUUCUUUAAGAUGGUAUUAGAUUUGUGGAAGAAUCGGAAGAGAGUCUUACAUGUUCUUUGAAGUUAGGAGGUUGAGGUCCUGGGGCAAUAGUUUUUGACAGGGUAGAUGUCUGAGUACCUGCAGGACUCAGAAAGGAGUGUACCACCAUGAGAAGCUGGUAACCUACUUGAGCACCCGGUCAGUAGACAAGGUCAGAGUCAGAGCUCUUUGUUAUUUUUUUUCCUUUUAAAUAUUUAUUUAUCAGAGCUGGCACUGUGGCCUAGCUGGUAAAGCCGUUGCCUGUAGUGCUGGCAACCCAUAUGGGUGCUGGCUCAAGUCCUGGCUGUUCCACUUCCAAACCAGCUCUCUGCUGGCCUGGGAAAACAGUGGAGGAUGGCCCAAGUCCUUGGGCCCCUGUACCCAUGUGGAAGACCCAGAAGAAAUUCCUGGCUCUUGCCUUUGGCUCUUCCCAGCUACGGCCAUUGCGGCUAUCUGGGGAGUGAACCAGCAUAUGGAAGACCUCUCUCCCUCCCCUCUCUGCCUCUGCCUCUCUGUAACUCUGCCUUUCAAAUAAAUAAAUAAAUAAAUAGAUAGAUAGAUAGAUCUUUAAGCAAAAAUAUAGAUAUUUAAGAAAAUAAAAAUUCAUUUAUUUAUUUGAAGGGCAGAGUUAUAGAGAGGCAGAGGCAGAGAAAGUUCUUCCUUACACUGGUUUACUCCCCAAAUGGCUGCAGUGACCAGAGAUGUGCCGAUCUGAAGCCAGGAGCCUGGUGCUUCUUCCAGGUCUCCCAUGAAGGUGAGGGGACCCACAGACUUGGGCCAUCUUCCACUGCUUUCCCAGCCACAGCAGAGAGCUAGAUCUGAAGUGGAGCAGCCAGGACUUGAGCUGGCGCCCAUAUGGGAUGCCAGCACUACAGGUGGCAUCUUUACCUGCUAUGUUGCGAUGCAGCCCCUGACCUUUGUUAUUUGUAAAACAGAACACUCAACUAUAUAUGCACUUAAGUUAAAUUCUCAGUGCAUUCAAUUUCUCCCCAGUGUGUCUUCUGCCUUUAGGCUUCUCCCCAGUCCUCCAUGCUUUCCUGAACAUGUGGCUGCCCUGCUGCUGCUAGCACCGUUCCUCAUUCCACUUGUGUUUCUCAUAAUGGAUUUUCUGGGUGGCAGGGUGUUUUCACCAUUAUGAGAUGGUGGGAGUGCAGAGUGGAGAUGGGAAGGCUGGCUGCACAGAUUCAUCUCCACCUAUUAACAACUGUAUUUAAACACAACUAAUGGUAAUUACAAUGGAGAGCUUCAUAAAAAGAGAUGAAUUUUCAAAAGGUAUUCACUGUUAUUGAGUAUACUAAAGGGAGAAAUAAUGUACUUAUAUAUAGCUUGAGUAUUUCUCAAUAUACAUAUAAAUAACCUGGUGCUGUUAUUAAAUUGCAAAUUCUGAUUCAGUAGAUCUGGACUAGGCUGGGAGACUCUUCAUUUUUGAAAAUCUCCCAAGAGAUGUCUGAUCUUGCUUCAAACAAUGAGUAAUAAGGUCUUAGAGGACUUCAAAUAAUUAAUACUAUUCUAUAUAAUUGGAGGUCAUUUAUUUCAGAAAAUAUGUUAUAUGUAUGUAUCUAAUUUCUUCCUGACUGGUAAUUAGAAAUUUAUUCCUUGGCCAUGCUGUUCAUAUUUGAAUGAGUAUUAGGCUUAAGUGGUAACAUGUUGAAAGGAUGUUGCUUGGUAUCCAAAAGAGACAGCUAAAUGACAGCUUUUGUAACUGGAAUUGCUUGUAGAGUUAUUGUUUUCUUUUUCCCAAAGAAUGGGAUUAUGCUACAGUUUAGAGGUGGCUUGUCUUCCCGAAGCUAAUGUGCUGGAAGCUUUGUCCUCAAAAUAAUGAUUUUGAGAAGUAGUGGGACUUUUAAGAGGGGUAGCCUAAUGGGAAAUUAUUAGGUCAUAGGAAACCAUCCUCAUGAAUGGUUUAAUGUCUUUCUGAGACACUGGUUGGUUCUUGCAAGACUGAAUUAGAUCUCACAGAUUUGGAUGAGUUAUUACAAGAGUGUGUUAUUACAAAGCAGAUCAACUUCUUGUCUGUUUCUCUCUCAUGUGCCUGCUCUUUGCACACCUUUGCUUCCUCUUCCACUUCCCCACUGCGUUGCUGCAACGCAAGACCUUCAACAUUAACUGCGCAGGUGCUGGCAACACCCUCUUGGAUACAGAGAACUGGGAGUGAGUAAACCUCCUUUGUUUUCUUUUCAGGAGAAAUGAAUGAUGUAUUUAUUCCAAGAAACAUAUGUGCCAUUGACAUAAAUUCUUAAUUACUAAAUAGGACAUUUUCAGAAAACUUCUUUUCUUUAUAUGUGUCAGUAUUUUUUAUAUGUUUCAGCAUUUUUUAUAGCAACAAAAAGCAGACUAAGACCAUGAAAUAGAAAAAGUCUUACAUUAAGACUUGCACAUAAAAUAGAACUUACAGAAGGUUGGGACAUGCAUGAAUUUUCAUUCCUGAACCAUCUUUUCAUGGAUAAUAGAUCCUAACUUAAUCCCUGCCUUUUAGAACCACUGAUUCAGAGCAUAAACAUACCCAAUUUAGAAGACUAGAUCACUGGGCCUCGCAAGGAUCAUUCCAUGUAAGAUUGGGAAGAUUUACUGCUCAUUCCAUGAAUGGCUGCUGCUGUGUUCUCAUCCUGGGAGUCCCACCCUAUCUGCCUCUGGGAACUCUUGAUUUUCACAUGAAGAUUCAUCUUUGAUGCCAGGAUAGAGGACAAUUCCUGGUCACAGAAAAUUUGUGUGAGCACUGAGGAUAGUGAGCGGCACCAUGGCCUUGGUCCUGAGGCUCAGUUUCCCUUUUGAUACCAUGUACAGUAAGGAUCAGAAGUAUUUUCCAAAGCCCGUGCCCUUCUAAACUGCACUUCUUCAGAACGGAGGCUCACCUGUUCUUGUUGAUCUCCUUCUAGAUAGGGAAUCCUGAUCCUGAGCCCAUUGCCAGAGGCAGGAUCCCAGCAGCAACAAACAUAGGCUUCACCAAAUCUCUUCAGGGAACCCUGCGGAAUCUGAUUCUCACCCAUUCCUGGAUCCUCCUCACUCCCUUAUCUGUGUAGAUGAUCCCAUUUUUUUUUAAAGAUUUAUUUGUUUAUUUGAAAGGUAGAGUUACAGAGAGGCAGAGGCAGAGGCAGAAAGAGAGAGAAGUCUUCCAUCUGCUGGUUCACGCCUCAGAUGGCCUCAACGGCCAGAGAUGGGCCAGGAGUUUCUUCUGGAUCUCCCACAUGGGUGCAGAGCCCCAAAGUCUUGGGCCAUCCUCCACUGCUUUCCCAGGCCAUAGCAGAGAGCUGGAUCAUAAGUGGAGCAGCCAGGUCUUGAAACAGCACCCAUAUGGGAUGCCAGCAUUGCAGGUGAUGGCUUUACCCUCUAUGCCAUAGUGCAAGUUCCAGUGAUCUCAUUAUUAUUGUUAUGUCUACACGUUCUAACAAUGGGACCACUUUCCUGGACAGGUCAAAAUUUUCCAAGUUCUCUUGAAUACUGGGUAUUGCUGACAGACCUAGCUCUGUAUCUGAACUGGCAGGUGUCAGGGCUCUCUGAGGAUCAAGUUCCUUAAAAGGACCAAGUCCUUUAAAAAUACUUUUAAAAAAAGUAAGCCUAGGCUCAUCUCCCCCAAUCUGUUCUUCCCUCCACAAUAACCUGCCUCUGCCUGACAUCGUCCUGAGACAUGGAUGCCAAGGAGGUGGACGCUGUGAAGCUUCUGGGUGUCUGAUGAUGCUGUUACCAGGCAGAAGAGACGUCCUGAAAUUGUGAGAUGAGAGUGUUAUACAAAGGCAUUUGUUUUCCAUUUGUUUGUUCAAUCUCUGGAUAGGAUCUCAGGCUCAGAAUCAUGUAUUUCUCAUUAUUGUGAAAAUCAAGUUUCUCUUCUUCAUACACUAUUAACCAUCUCUAGAAAUGGUUAUAGAAUAUGUGUGUUUGAUCAACUGCUGUGUUUUCAGGAAAAAGUGUUCUUUUCUGAAACAGAGGCUUAACCAGGCACUGGCAACUUAUCCUUUAGAAAUCAAACAUUUAGAUAGUUUUUGGUUCCUUUAAAAAAGUUAUAUCUAUCCUGGUGACUCAUGGGCAAGAAUACUUUUCUCACCAAUAAAGUGAAGAGGAGGUGAUUAAAAUACCAUCUUUGAGAUGACACUGCUGUAUUACAUUUCAUCAUUCCAGUGCCCUUGGCUGUGGAGUAAUUGGAAUAGAAGAAAUCAGUUUAAAGAUACAUUUGCAUUAAGUUGCAUACAUAUGAUUAUUCCCACAAGUUUUGUGAUAGUCCAAUUUAGGCAGUGUGAUCAUGUGAUGAGAGAGUUUUUGGGAAGUAGACGUCCUCAAAUCUCAUUGCACCUUAUUUUGCCUAGUGGAAAGGCCUAUCCUAAACACUUCUGAUGUGUGCUUGUCUUUCAGGGGAGGGAAGCUGGACAGAAAUAAAAGUCUUGGAGGAAAGGCCAGUGGUGUGUGUGUGUGUGUGUGUGUGUGUGUGUGUGUGUGUUUUAACAAAGCAAGAUUUAUUGAAGUCAGAAACCUCCUGCCACAGCCAGGAAGUGAGGGUGGAGGGACUCCAAGAGAGGCAGACUCCUGUCAGUAGUGGUUUUUAAGAAAAUUAUCUGUGAUGGUUAAUUUGAUGUCAAUUUGACUGGGCUAAGGGAUGCUCAGAUGGCUGAUAAAAUAUGAGGCAUUAAGUAUAUCUGUGAAGAGCUUAGCACUUAAACUUGUAGACUGAGUAAAGCAGGUGGCAUCCUCCUAUUCACUGAUAGCUCGACCUAUCUAUCUACCUACCAUCAUUAUUAUCAUCUACCAUCUCUAUAUUAUCUCCAUGGCUUCUAUUUCUUGGAAAUAUCCUAAUAUAGUCCCACAAGCAAUAUUUUCACAUUUCAAAGUCCCUACAGAAAGCACCAUGAAUAGGUAAAAACUCGCUCACUUGUAUAGGUAAGCAGAUGGCAUGGUGAUUGGUAACAGAUUUGGUGAAGGGAUCACUCACUGGGUGUAAAGUCUAGCUCUCUCUCUAACUGUUGAUAAUCCCAUCUGUGAAAUGGAGAUGAUAACAGUGCUCACUCCAUGGGAUUCUUGUGGGGAUGAAUAGUGCUAAUAAUGGUAGGCCUUUGAAAAGAGCAGCCCACUUUCUUGCUAUUUUUUUACUAUAUAAAAAUCUCAAUCUCAAAUGGAUACCUGUCAGCCUACAAAUAUGUUCAUGUUGCCAUAUUACAACAUCCUGACUUUCUGUGGAUUUGUGACUAGUGUCUUGGUUUAAAUCUGGCUCAAAAUCCUUCUUGUUCUUGAUAGAACAACCAUUUUAUUUGAAAGAAAAUUUUUCUGAAUUGUUGAAAGCGGGGGAAAGAGUAGUGAGCACAGAUUAUGGUUGGUACAUGUUACACAGCAGCUGGAUCAGUGAAUACAAUGGUAGGUAUGCUUUCUGACUUAAUCUCCUGGAUUUUUCCAUACUAAGCCCUAGCUUAUGUCUACAUUCAUAUCUGCGUUCAAGAUGGCUCAGUUUUCCAAAAGGCUCACCUCUAAGGUAAGAUAUCAAAUUACUGCCUUGAAGACUUAUGCUUUUAGUUUUCAUACAUUAUAGUCACUGUUUUCACUGGCAAAAAUAAUAAUUUAAAAUAAAAGGUGAUUAUUUGUGUUUCAAAUACAGCUGGAGUUCCAUGCUGUAUUUGUCUUACUAAUCAAACCUCUCAAAGGGCAGCAUUCCCAGAGAAGUACUAAUAAGGCUUGGGAGGGGUUAUUACCUCUAGAUAAUGGGUUCAGAUAAGGGUGGGGCUGAUAGGUCCAUAUUUACUAGAGAUAGGAAGAGGAAAGAGAAAUUGGACCUUGCAAAUUCACACGUGCACUUCAGAUAAUUUUAAGUUCACAUGUGGGUAAACAAGUGACAAUUAAUGGAGAGCAUGUCUGUAAAUGUAUGUUUAUAUGUACUUAUAUGUACCUGGAAAAAUGAAUACACUGUAGGAGUGAAUAGUUAACAUGCAACUGAACAAUCAUAUCAAAAUGCUGCUGACAGGUAAAGUGACAAUGACAUGGCUGUCCCUCUCUUCUCUGUCCUUAUGGCUGGCAGAGUCUAAAAAAAUUCUAUUGCUAUAUUGUUAUGUCAGUGGUAAUUUAUGGAAGAAUCAAUUUACAUUUUCCCAUAAACUCAGGGUAGAAAUAAGAAUGAAAAUAGAAUUAGAUCUUCUAAAGUGGUUCUAAUUUAAAAUAGUCUAGCCAUUAGGAAAAAUAUAUUUGCUAUCUUGGAUCAGUCACAAAUUGGGAAAGUGCCUUUCAUAAAUACAUACUUGGAAUUAAAAUUGUAAACAGUUAUAACCUAAAGUGUCUUGGUAGCCAUACAGAUGCACAUUUACAACAGUAAAAAUUAUCUUUUUGUUUUUGUUGGUUAGAGUGUAAACUAAUGCAACCAUCAUGAAGACAGUAUGGAGAUUUCUAGAAAUCUGAAAAUAGGUUUACUAUAUGAUCCAGCAAUUCUAACUCCUGGGAAUUUACCCAAAAGAAAUAAAAUCAGCUUCUGGAAGAAUUAUCUGUACCCACAUGUUUAUAACAGCUCAACUCACAAUAGCUAAGAUAUGGAAUCAACACAGAUGUCCAUCAGCUGAUGACUGGAUAAAUUAUGGUAUAUAUAUAUAUCAUGGAAUACUACUCAGCCUUUGAAAAGAAUGAAAUCCUGUGUUUCACAAUGAAAUGGAUGCAACUGGAGACAAUUAUGCUUAGUGAAAUAAGCCAUCACAUGUCUUCCUUGAUUUGUGGUAGCUAAUAUACAGAGUAUAAAAAAUGUAAUGUAUAUGAGCAAAAUUGACAUUCUGAGAUUUGACUAUUGUUUAUAGACUUGUCUAUACCCUUCAGGUAAAGUGGUUUUUCCUAUUCACUACUUGUUGAAUUUUUUAUUUAGUAGAGGGUUAAACUUAUAAUUAUAGAGUGAAUUGAAAGUGUAUCAUUGCAAAAAUUAAGAGAAAAGAAGAAGGAGGAAGGAUGAAAGUAGGAGAGGGAGGGUAUGUAGGGAGAGAAGUAUCAUUAAACUCUUAAAAUUGUAUAUAUGAAAUACAUGAAAUUUAUUCCUUUGUAUGAAUUACCAAAAAGUAAAAAAUGUUUAAGAUGCCAUCUUUUAAAACUAGUGAACUAUGGUAAAUAUAUUUUAUGAAGAUCAAACUGUAUGGUUUGUGGACACAUUAGCACUAUGACAUCCCCCUUACCUGAGGAUGGGGAGGUGAAAACGGGGUCAGGCUUAUGGAAACUCAUGAGACAUAGAUCCAGAAAUAAAAGAAGUCUAAGUACUAUUCUCCAGAAGUUCUCAGUCCUUUGCUUGGACAAUUGUAAGUAAGGGAGUGGGUGAGAAAGGUGAUGCAAUGAUUUGGCUGUGACUUGAAUGUGUCCUCCAAAGCUUCAUGAGUUGGAAACUUGGUCCCCACUGUGGUGAUGUGGGGAGGUGGUGGGACCUUUCAGAGGUGGGGGCUCAUCAGAGGUUGUUAUUGGCCCUCUCCCUUUGCUUUGGCUUUAUGUCUCACUAUCCAUGUGAUCUCUCACUCUUGAAAGUGCUCCCUCACCAUGUUGCCGCCAGGUGACUCUCACAAGAGCCAUGCUGUUUAGGAUUCCAGUAAGCCUGUUUUCUUUUAUAAAGAACUCAGUCUCAGGUAUUUCACUAUCGCAACAGAAAACUGUCUAAGGCAAUGGUGGACUGAUUAGACUGUGAUGAUUGUCUGUGGAGACAGGUGACAGGCAGCUAUAAGCAGUUGAUAGAAACCCAUCAAGCAUGAAGCAAUGGUGCCACAGGUCUUAGGAAGUCUUGAAAGCAUCUUGUGCUACAGUACACGGUAAAAGAUCUGAUGUGCAUAAAGAUGACUGAAUCACGAGAAAAAGCUCAAAGUAUGCUUGCUCAGUGCCAUUCAUGGGUCAGUUUCUUUUCAUGUCACCCACCAGGCACUCAUUGUUCUUGGUUAUGCUGUUAUGAGGAGUACCUUUCUCCUCUUCCUUUGAUCUUCCUAUCUCCAGGUACCAGGGCAAAGCCCUGAGCAGUCUGGGACAUUAAGCAGAACAUUCUGGUGCCACAUCAUAUUGUAACAUUGUGCUUUACACAAAGUAUCUGUAUACAGAACUACCCACCCGUGACUUUGCCUUCAUCUCUAACUUUUCUCUGUCUCUCAGCCUUCCUUGCUCCCUAAUAUUGCUUUAUCCUGUGGCCCACUGGUUGCCAACUCAGGUGCUCCAGGAGCCAUACCUAAACAUGUCUGGGCCAAACAACACUGUGAGAAAAAUUUGGACUGUAGAUUUGAGUCUGUCCACCUUCCUUGCCUGUGUUUUUUCAGAUAUAUUAAGGACAAAGAUGUAUAUAAAGACACUGCUACAGUGAUUGUUGCUGUAUACAUGCCAUUUCAUCUUAGGAAUUUUCAGUUGGCACAAUAAAGUGAAGAAAGAAAGAUGGCACAGUGUCCAGCAGAAAGAUCCCAGGAUCAGAGACAUGGAUUCAAGUCUCUGCUCCAUACUUUGAGCCCUUCUGCCAGGUGCAGUGGAAUUAGAAAAGCAGUUGGAUUCAUCUUAUUUGCUUCAGGUCUCAGUUCAAAGGUCACCUCAUCAGAAAGGUUCUUCAUCACCUUCUGGCCAACCAGAGAAUCACAUCCCCUCCCAAGGACAGACUAUAAGGGGAAACACCAGGGUUAGGACUGCUUGUUUUGCAUUCUUUGGUUCAAUCACUUCAGCUCAUCAGGGAAAUAGAACUGCCAGUACAGCGUCUUUGAGAACAGAGGACGAUGGUGUGCUAUAUGAAUCAAAGGAUUCCCCAAGGCUAAAGGCACUGUAAACAAUAAUCAUGCUAGAAGUGCACACUGUCCUCCCGGUGUAGGACAUUGUAGAGCUCACAAAGAAAUAUGAGAACGUUUUCUGUAUCUAAAAGGAUUCAAAACAACUGGUAAGAUGAAUUGUCAGUGAGUGAUGAUUUAGAAACUAUAAGAAAGACUUUCUCACUGAUUUCCAAAUAACUAUUUCAUGGUGUAUAUAUCUAAGAAAUUCAGGACGCAGAGAAGUGACUCUGGGAUGAAGUGGUCUGCAAGGCUUCACAGAGGAAGAAUUGAUAUGGGCCUAGGAUCCAAGUUCUUGCACCUAUCUCUCCCCCAGUUAGAAGAAGUCAAAGUUGAGACAUAUAUAGCGUGCACAAAUAACAGGUUUUAUUUAAAAGUGAGAAUGAACACACAUCCAUGGGUGAGCGUAGGCCACCCCUCAUGUGUAGGCCAGAGCUUUGCUUCUGAGGGGAGAGAGAAAGAGUAAGAGGAAGUCUGAGUACUACUCUAGCAAGUAGUAUGCUUGCUCUAUGUAUUCUCAGUGUCUUUGAGGUAGAUUGGUGCCUUAAUUGAGGGAACAAAUGGAGUGGGGUCUUAGGAUGCAUGAAGCCAUCUGGGAUUUUAAUGGCACCUCCACAUGGAAUUUAACUUCCAUGUGUUCAUCAUGUUGUCUUCUCCUUCCUGGUCCCAGAUGAGACCUAAGUGCACCUUGGGAAUGUGGGUAUAUCAACCUGACAGGUGAAGAGAUUAAGUUACCUUUCAGGACUAGCAAAAAUUCCAGCUCACCUGGACCCUGCUCUUCGCCUAGUUACCCCACAUCAGAAUGACUGGGAUAAGUACAAAAAGUGUAGUUAGGGUGAAAAUAGUUGGGUGAAGGGAGUAUUAUUAGAGCAUUUGGUAGGAGGAGUGAUUAAAAGACAUGGGGGCAAGAAAGUGCAAGAUGCAUUUGAUGAAUAGUAAAUUAUCUCAUUUGUUGGUGGGGAAGUGUCUUACUGGUAAUUAUUUGGGGAAGAAAACAAAUUAAUGUCAUUUUUAGAGGAGGAACUUGUUGGCAUAUGUAUUUUUACUUUGAAUUAAUACAUUAUAAUUCUACAUAUUUAUGGGGUAGAUAUAUUUUAUUAUAAUACAUGUAUAUAAUGCAUGUUUAUCAGAUCAGGGUAGUUGGCAUAUCCAUCAUUUCAGACCUUUAUCAUUUUUUUGUGGUGGGAACAUUCAACAUUCCCUGUGCUAGCUAUCUUGGAAUGUAUGGUUAAUUAUUGUCAGCUAUGGUUAUUCCACACUCUAGAACAUUUGGUGUUAUUCUCUUAUCCAGCUGUAGUCUUGUAACUGUUAAGCAUCCUCUCUUCAUCCUCCCUUGCUAUCCCCUGUCCUCACUCUACUCUCUCCUUCCAUGAGAUCAUAUGAGAGUGAACAUGCCAUGCAAUAUUUGUGUCUCAGUGCCUGACUUACUUUACUUCACUCAAUGCCCUCCAGCUCUAUCCAUAUUGCUGUAAAGGACAGAAUCUUGUUCUAUUUUGUGGUUGAAUAAUAUUCUAUUGCAUGCAUAUGCCACAUUUUCUUUAUCCAUUCAUCCAUCAAGGAGUAUCUGGGUAGAUUCUAUAUUUUGGCUACUGUGAAUAGCACUGUAAUAAACACACAAGUGCAGACAUCUCUUCAACCUACUCCUACUGAUUUUGUUUCAUUUGGCUAUAAUAGUAUACUCAGCAGCGGGAUUGCUAGAUUAUAUGGUAGUUCUAUUUCUAGUUUUUGGAGACACCUCCAUAUUUACUGUACUGGUUAUAUUACUUUACAUUCCCACCAACAUGAUUUAACCCCUCCCUCUC